rnacentral:tRNA from 1 species
GCCUAGAUAGCUCAGUCGGUAGAGCAGGGGAUUGAAAAUCCCCGUGUCGGCGGUUCGACUCCGUCUAUGGACACUA